UGUUUAUUGGUAUAUUUUGAUAAGUACUUUUAGUUUUAUUCUAUUUUUUUUCUUGUUUUUUUUGAUUUUGGAAAAUUUUUUCGUUUUUUCUUUUUUGUACAUGAUAGUUUAUUGCUUACUCAUUUUUUUUUAUUUUCUUAACGGAGUUUUGUAAGUAGCUCAGUACUAAGUAUUGUUUUUUAAGAAUUUUUAGAGGUAGGAAAAGAAAAUAAAAACGGCUAAUUGUGUGCCAGCUGCUGCGGCUAUACACAUGUUUUAAGCGAAAGUGUUUGGGUAGAAGGUAGAAAUAAUUUGUUUUGGGAAUAGUUUUUUGGUUUGUAUGUAGAAAUUAAAUUUUUUUUUUUCUUUUUUCCUUUAUUUUUUUUUGUUCUUUUUUGGUUUUUUGGAGAGACCGGGAUUAGGCACCCCGUUAUUAAAAAAUCUUUUUUUUUCCUGGGUAUUAAAUAUUUUUAAACUCAAAAAAUUUGGCGGUUCUUUAUAUCCUUUUAGGGGAACCUGUUCUAUAAUUGAUAUUCCACGUGAAAGUUAGCUUCUCUUAGUUUGUUUGUAUACUUCUGUUGUCAGUUUACUUUUAAUAGUUUUUUUAGUUUACUUUAUAAUUUUUAGUUUUAACAUCAAGUCAAAGUGCAGCUUAUGGGGAAGAAAGAGAUGGGUUACGUUUUUUUAGUUUUUGGUUUUGGUGUUGGAAUACGUGGAAUAAAUUGGACUUAAUAGUAAAGUUAUUUUUAGUAAGUUUUUUUGAAUAUGGUUUAGGGUGCGUACAAAUCGCCCGUCGCUCUUGCUGAUAAGUAAGAUAAGUCGUAACACAGUAGCAGUAUCGGAAGAUGCUGCUAGUUU
rnacentral:ncRNA from 1 species